rnacentral:tRNA from 2 species
GGACCCAUAGCUCAGCGGUAGAGCAUCUGAUUCCAGUAGUAACCAUUACUGCCUCCAGAAGGUCAUCCGUUCAAAUCGGGUUGGGUUCA